UUGCUCCUUGAAUCNCUGCGGACGGGUGAAUAAUGCCUAAGACUCUGCCUGGUAUGGGGGACAACGUUUCGAAAGGAACNCUAAUACCGCAUACGUCCUACGGGANUCGCAGGGGACCUUCGGGCCUUGCGCUAUCGNAUGANCCUAGGUCCNAUUANCUAAUUGGUGAGGUAAUGGCUCACCAANGCNACAAUCCGUAACUGGUCUGAUAGGAUGAUCAGUCAAUCUGGAACUGAGACACGGNCCCCACUCCUACAGGAGGCANCGAUGGGGAAUAUUGGAGAAUGGGCGAACGCCUGAUCCACCCAUGCCCCGUGUGUGAAUAAGGUCUUCAGAUUGUCNAUCUCUUUAACUUGUGAGAAAGGGCAGUAAGUUAAUACCUUGCUGUUUUGACGUUACCNCCAUAAUAACNANNNGCUAACUCUGUGCCNCAUCCGCGGUAAUACAGANGGUGCAAGCGUUAANC
rnacentral:rRNA from 1 species